GACGAACGCUGGCGGCGUGCUUAACACAUGCAAGUCGAACGGUAAGGCCCUUCGGGGUACACGAGUGGCGAACGGGUGAGUAACACGUGGGUGAUCUGCCCUGCACUUCGGGAUAAGCCUGGGAAACUGGGUCUAAUACCGGAUAGGACCAUUGCCUGCAGGGGUGGUGGUGGAAAGCUUUUGCGGUGUGGGAUGGGCCCGCGGCCUAUCAGCUUGUUGGGGGGGUGAUGGCCUACCAAGGCGACGACGGGUAGGCCGGCCUGAGAGGGUGACCGGCCACACUGGGACUGAGAUACGGCCCAGACUCCUACGGGAGGCAGCAGUGGGGAAUAUUGCACAAUGGGCGCAAGCCUGAUGCAGCGACGCCGCGUGAGGGAUGACGGCCUUCGGGUUGUAAACCUCUUUCAGCAUCGACGAAGCGCAAGUGACGGUAGGUGCAGAAGAAGGACCGGCCAACUACGUGCCAGCAGCCGCAGUAA
rnacentral:rRNA from 1 species